rnacentral:rRNA from 1 species
AUUCCAGCUCCAAUAGCGUAUAUUAAAGUUGUUGCAGUUAAAAAGCUCGUAGUUGGAUUUCUGGUCUGAUGCCCUGGCCCGCCUCAAUUUCGAGGUGAGUGCCGGCUGUGCGUCUACCAUCCUUCUAGAAAACGUUCCUACCCUUCACUGGGCCGGGUUCGCGAUCUAGAUCUUUUACUUUGAAAAAAUUAGAGUGUUUAAAGCAGGCUUUUGCUAUGAAUACAUUAGCAUGGAAUAAUAAUCUAGGACUUCGGUUCUAUUUUGUUGGUUUCUAGUACUGAAGUAAUGAUUGAUAGGGAUAGUUGGGGGUGCUAGUAUUGGGCGGCCAGAGGUGAAAUUCUUGGAUUCGCUCAAGACUAACUUAUGCGAAAGCAUUCACCAAGGAUGUCUUCAUCA